UGGGGAAUAUUGCACAAUGGAGGGAACUCUGAUGCAGCGACGCCGCGUGAGUGAUGAAGGAAUUCGUUUCGUAAAACUCUGUUCUAUGGGAAGAAAAGGACUGUACCAUAGGAGAAAGCUCCGGCUAAAUACGUGCCAGCAGCCGCGGUAAUACGUAUGGAGCGAGCGUUGUCCGGAAUUAUUGGGCGUAAAGGGUGCGCAGGCGGCUUUACAAGUUGGAUGUGAAAUAUUGUGGCUCAACCACAAACGUGCAUCCAAAACUGCAAAGCUUGAGUGAAGGAGAGGUAAGUGGAAUGCCUGGUGUAGCGGUGGAAUGCGUAGAUAUCAGGAGGAAUACCGGUGGCGAAGGCGACUUACUGGACUUAAACUGACGCUCAGGCACGAAAGCGUGGGGAGCAAACAGG
rnacentral:rRNA from 1 species